rnacentral:rRNA from 1 species
GACGAACGCUGGCGGCGUGCCUAAUACAUGCAAGUUGAGCGCUGAAGGUUGGUACUUGUACCGACUGGAUGAGCAGCGAACGGGCGAGUAACGCGUGGGGAAUCUGCCUUUGAGCGGGGGACAACAUUUGGAAACGAAUGCUAAUACCGCAUAAAAACUUUAAACACAAGUUUUAAGUUUGAAAGAUGCAAUUGCAUCACUCAAAGAUGAUCCCGCGUUGUAUUAGCUAGUUGGUGAGGUAAAGGCUCACCAAGGCGAUGAUACAUAGCCGACCUGAGAGGGUGAUCGGCCACAUUGGGACUGAGACACGGCCCAAACUCCUACGGGAGGCAGCAGUAGGGAAUCUUCGGCAAUGGACGAAAGUCUGACCGAGCAACGCCGCGUGAGUGAAGAAGGUUUUCGGAUCGUAAAACUCUGUUGGUAGAGAAGAACGUUGGUGAGAGUGGAAAGCUCAUCAAGUGACGGUAACUACCCAGAAAGGGACGGCUAACUACGUG